rnacentral:lncRNA from 1 species
AAGUUGCUACAAAGUUGUCACUCACAACUUGUUGACAAAUCGUUGAAUUGCAGGACGAUAACAAGUUGUUGGAACAACCUGUAACAAGUCUGUUGAGCUCAACAACCUUGUAGCAAGUUCUCAACAAGCCGUUGGCAACUUGUCAACAAGCUGGGAACAAGCAGUGCGAACACAUCCUGUUGACAAGUUGUUGGAACAGCAUUGCUACAAGUCUGCUGCAGGUUUGUUACAACUUGUGCGUUUUUGCGUG